GACGUAGGGCGCGAGCGUUGUCCGGAUUUAUUGGGCGUAAAGAGCUCGUAGGCGGCUUGUCGCGUCGAAUGUGAAAACCCACAGCUCAACUGUGGACUUGCAUUCGAUACGGGCAGGCUCGAGUUCGGUAGGGGAGACUGGAAUUCCUGGUGUAGCGGUGAAAUGCGCAGAUAUCAGGAGGAACACCGGUGGCGAAGGCGGGUCUCUGGGCCGAUACUGACGCUGAGGAGCGAAAGCGUGGGGAGCGAACAGG
rnacentral:rRNA from 1 species